rnacentral:rRNA from 1 species
GACGAACGCUGGCGGCGUGCCUAAUACAUGCAAGUCGAACGCUUCUUUCCUCCCGAGUGCUUGCACUCAAUUGGAAAGAGGAGUGGCGGACGGGUGAGUAACACGUGGGUAACCUACCCAUCAGAGGGGGAUAACACUUGGAAACAGGUGCUAAUACCGCAUAACAGUUUAUGCCGCAUGGCAUAAGAGUGAAAGGCGCUUUCGGGUGUCGCUGAUGGAUGGACCCGCGGUGCAUUAGCUAGUUGGUGAGGUAACGGCUCACCAAGGCCACGAUGCAUAGCCGACCUGAGAGGGUGAUCGGCCACACUGGGACUGAGACACGGCCCAGACUCCUACGGGAGGCAGCAGUAGGGAAUCUUCGGCAAUGGACGAAAGUCUGACCGAGCAACGCCGCGUGAGUGAAGAAGGUUUUCGGAUCGUAAAACUCUGUUGUUAGAGAAGAACAAGGACGUUAGUAACUGAACGUCCCUGACGGUAUCUAACCAGAAAGCCACGGCUAACUACGUG